rnacentral:rRNA from 1 species
UACAUAGGUGGCAAGCGUUGUCCGGAUUUAUUGGGUUUAAAGGGUGCGUAGGCGGCCCUGUAAGUCAGUGGUGAAAUACUCCAGCUUAACUGGAGGGGUGCCAUUGAUACUGCAGGGCUUGAGUGGAGUCGAAGUAGGCGGAAUUGACGGUGUAGCGGUGAAAUGCUUAGAUAUCGUCAAGAACACCGAUAGUGAAGACAGCUUACUAGGCUUCUACUGACGCUGAGGCACGAAAGUGUGGGGAUCAAACAGG